CUACAUUCAAUAUGCCAGCAAGUUUGGAAAACUCAACAGUGGCCAGUGUGAAAUGAGUGCAAUUGUACAGGAGGUGGAGCGUUCUUUGGCACUGCCCUUCUUUGGGAUUGGGAUGUUGACUGAUCUUUUGCAGUCCUCUGGCCACAAUUUCUACAUUUUCUCUGCAUAAUUCCCAGCUCUGUGUUGUUCAUCCUAGAUGAAGACCUGUAUGAGGUUGACAGCUUGCUUCUGUUGGUGAUUUUUUAAUGGUUUGCUGAUGGAUACAAUAGUAUAUAAUAAAUCAAUAGAUCAUUCUACAAGGUGGUGUUGGGACUAUUCCUGUUGAUUUAGGGAUGAUGGGAGUUGUUAUCCAACUCAUUGGAAAGCUGUCAGCUUGUGGAAGGCUCACUUGAAGUUAUGAUUCAAUCUCACGUUUGUCAGGGUUGCUAUAUGUACUUUCAAGGUUUGGUCCAUCCACAGUGGUUUUCACUCAGCAGGCUGGCAUAGCAACAGAACAGACCCCACUGCUUAGCUUUCUGAUGUCAUCCUUCCAUAGACUUCAUCUGUGGGAGGAGUCAGAAUGGUUUCCUAGCAAUAAUGCCUAGUGUUAGAACUGUCAAUUACUAGACAAACCAGGCUAAAGGAGUGUCAAGGGAUACUUACUGAGGCCAAUGUAAUUCUGUCAUCCCAAAUAAGGAUUCUCAAGCAGAGUUGCAUUCACCACAUGUCUGAGAAAUGAUGAAGAGGAACUGAAGAACGGGAAUAAAAGAUGAAUGGAAGAACUGCAGUAUUUGUGCCAGAGGAGAAACAGUCAGAAUAUUCAGAGAGGCAUGACUUGGCUGUCUCAGAGUCAGAACUGGCACAGAUGGAAAUUAUGAUUUGCAGAUGAAAAACCAGCAGAGAAGAAAAGACUAAGAUGCUCAUCCUUUCUCACCAUACAGUCUGCAGGCAGAAGCUUUUCUCUUUCCCAAACAGUUAAAACUCUGUUUGGACAUGACACAAACUUCGAAGCCCCUGACAUUGGAAUUGUUCUUCCAACACUUCAGGAAACAUGUAAGAAAUGACAUACCACUAAUAUACAUCUUAAAGGAUGAGAAAACGGGAACAAUUGUCCUAGAAGUAUAUUUCCUGCAUUAUUGAUUCUCCCUUCAUCCUCACUUUUCUUUUCUGUCCACAAUUCUUCAGGAUCUAGUUGAUCCUUCAGAUUCCUUUAUUUUUUUCAUGUGCAUUGACAGUAAUAUCUGAGUCCCCCCCCCACAAGACAGUUAAAGUUACCAACCUUAUUGUCUACACAGGGGUUCUGUGUCUCUAAAAGCAGUGUAAGAAUGAAGCAGAUGUUUCUAAAACAUUUCCCUCACUGUGUUUAAUGCAAAGAAAAGCUUCAGUUAUGAAUAUUUGCUUGUCACAUCAACAUCUAAAUGUGCAGGAG
rnacentral:lncRNA from 1 species